UAAAUUAAAAAUACAAAGAAAAAAUUUGGCAUUUUUAAAAUUAAAUUAAAUUUAAAAUUAUUCCUAUUCAAACAGUUUUUGGCAAGUUAUUUGAUGAAUUUUGAUUUAAAAAUUAUUUUUUUGGUUCAAAUUUAGUUAGGGUUAGAAAAAAUCUUAAGCGACAAUGGAUGUCAGAAGAUUUGCAAAUGGAAGCGGGGAUGCUGACUCAUCGAAUUUUAUGCUUCGUCUAAUACCUGAUUAUUUCAAUCUUCCUCUUUUGGACAGGCAUAAUGACGAAUUACAUCACGAAAUUCACACACAAUAUCAACGAAGAUUUGAAAAUGAUGUACGCAGGUGUCAUCGGCAAUUGCGACAACAGAUGGGUAUACCUUUAACGGCUUUUAAGAUUGGUACACCUGCAAAUAUAGGGCAAAGUCGUUUAUUCGUAGGUUUAACCUUUGAAGAGGAAUAUAGUCGUACAUAUCGAUGGAAGCAACUAAAAUUUCAGAGAAAAUUGGACUUACUUAUUCAGAGUCGUUAUAAGCAAAGAAAAGAUGAACUAUUUACAGAAAUAUACGGGUAAUAUUGUUCACCAAAGUGACCGAUCGACCUGCUGCAAUGGAGAAUAAAAUGUAAUGGAAUACUAAAAUACCACUUAAAAAAUUGCGUAACACCGAAGAGCUUAAGAUGGCCCAAAAUAACUGAAUUUCUUCAAUGUUAAAGGAACUAUUGGAAAACGGUAGCAUUAACCUCAAUAUUAACUCAUUUUAGCUAAAGGCACAGCUUCUGAAAGGAAGAUGGCCUAUAACUUAUCUUUAAAGAAGAUUUUCUAAUAUUAAUUUAGGACACCAAAUAGAAGAGUUAUUCAAUAUCGUGAAGAAAAACUGCUUGUAUUUCUCUGAGAUGAUUAAUGGACAUUUAGUCUUGAAUUCCGAAAGAUGUCCAUACAAUCUGACAUGCAGAAAGCAAGACUGAAGACUAGGCUUAGCAAUUGAAAUGAUACAGAAAGAAAAUGUAUGUAUGAGUACUUCUCGUAGGUGAUUAAUGAAUACUACUGAGCACAAUUUGCAUGAAUCGCAUUCUAUGAUAUAUUAAGAGACUAAACGAUCAAACAAAAUCUAAAUUACAUAAAAAUGGAAUACGUUUGGAUUUUUUCUUGUAUGAUAUCUUUCGCAGUUAAUAUGAAUAACAUUUAAUAUGGACAAAGAAUUAGGAGUAGUUUGGAAAAACACUAAACUGAAAAUGUCUAUACAAGUUGGAAUCCGAACAAUAAGAAAAGGAGUGAAUCCGAACAAUAAGAGAAGGAGUUAACUGAUUGUUUAGGUAUAACAAAAGUUAGUAAGAGAAUAAAUUUAUGAGUACUCAUCAUUGAUAAUAAAUGAAUACUUAAAUAUUGGCAUAAUUCAUAAACGACGACUUAUUAGAAGAUUAUAAUCUUUUGAUAAGAUUAAAGAGAUAUUUUUGUUCUAUUACAUACCACCUUACUGUGUAUCUCACCGACUAACAUGCAAAUAAUGUCGAUACAUUGAAGUUUAUCUCUGUUUCGAUAUUUUGUAUGUAUUUGUCUUAACUUUGCCAAAUAUUUUAAAUUUUAAUUA